UACGGAGGGUGCAAGCGUUGUCCGGAUUUAUUGGGUUUAAAGGGUGCGUAGGCGGCUAAUUAAGUCAGCGGUGAAAUUCCACAGCUCAACUGUGGAACUGCCAUUGAUGCUGGUUGGCUUGAGUACAGAUGAGGUAGGCGGAAUUGACAGUGUAGCGGUGAAAUGCUUAGAUAUUGUCAAGAACACCUAUUGCGAAGGCAGCUUACUAGCUGUAACUGACGCUGAGGCACGAAAGCGUGGGGAUCAAACAGG
rnacentral:rRNA from 1 species